rnacentral:rRNA from 1 species
UGGGGCCUACGGGGCGCAGCAGUGGGGGAUAUUGCACAAGGGGGGAAACCCUGAUACAGCGACGCCGCGUGAGUGAAGAAGUAGUUCGGUAUGUGAAGCUCUAUCAGCAGGGAAGAAAAAAGACGGUACCUGACUAAGAAGCCCCGGCUAACUACGUGCCAGCAGCCGCGGUAAUACGUAGGGGGCAAGCGUUAUCCGGAUUUACUGGGUGUAAAGGGAGCGUAGACGGCAAUACAAGUCGGAAGUGAAAUACCCGGGCUCAACCUGGGAACUGCUUUGGAAACUGUAUGGCUGGCGUGCUGGGG